AUCUACUGUGGCAGCAAUAGGUCAGUGUGUCUGGCUGUUAAGCAGAAGGUUGGUGGUUCGAGCCCAUCCAGGGAUG